rnacentral:sRNA from 1 species
ACUGGGCAUGGUGGUGCAUGCCUGUAAUCCCAGCAGCUCGGGAGGCUGAGGCAGGAGGAUUGCAAGUUUGAAGCCAGCCUCAAUAAUUUAGUGAGACCCUAAGCAACUCUGUGAGACCCUGUUUCAA